GAGUUUGAUCCUGGCUCAGGACGAACGCUGGCGGCGCGCCUAAUACAUGCAAGUCGAACGGACACCUUCGGGUGUUAGUGGCGGACGGGUGAGUAACACGUGGGCGACCUGCCUUCGAGUGGGGAAUAACGCUGGGAAACCAGCGCUAAUACCGCAUACGCUCCACCUUUCGUUGGGUGGAGGAAAGCUUUAUGCGCUCGAAGAGGGGCCUGCGGCGGAUUAGCUAGUCGGUGGGGUUACGGCCUACCGAGGCGACGAUCCGUAGCUGGUCUGAGAGGAUGAUCAGCCACACUGGGACUGAGACACGGCCCAGACUCCUACGGGAGGCAGCAGUGGGGAAUAUUGCACAAUGGGCGAAAGCCUGACGCAGCGACGCCGCGUGGGGGAAGAAGGCUUUCGGGUUGUAAACCCCUUUCAGGAAGGACGAAGCCACUCGGGUGAAUAGCCCAGAGGGUGACGGUACUUCCAGAAGAAGCCCCGGCUAACUACGUGCCAGCAGCCGCGGUAAUAA
rnacentral:rRNA from 1 species